GACGAAAGCCAUUAAUUGAUACAAAAGCUAAGAAUAAGAAAUGAAUAAGGGUUAGAAAUUUAAAAUACAAUGAAAUAAUAAUUUAGGAACGUGCUCAGAGCAUACAACUAAACCUAAUCACUAAAAAGAAUUAAGAUAAAAUUGAACGAAUAAAAGAGUGGGUCCUACAUCGAGAGGAUUCAAAGAUGUUGUUGGGGAAGUGUCUUGACGCCGGGAUUUGGUGCCUUGAUCCUAAGUUCUAAAUGGGGGCGCAAAACAAAUGUGAGUGGACCAAGUUCAUAUAUAUAUAUAAUAAUAAUAAAACAGUUAUCAAUGUACUAACCCCCAUAGUUUAUAUAUAAUGAAAACUACUAGCAUAAUAAGUUAUGGAUUUAAUAAAAAUCCUAGCAUGCCAAAAAUAUCUCAAAAGUCAUAUCGCGGAAAUCAAAACAGUAAACGUAUCAUAGAUCGUCUCGUAAGCGUGGUGUGCUGCUAGAAAGAUCACUGAAUAAAUAUAACUUCCGGCCUAAUACCUGCUCCGUGGUCUCUGCGCCCGUAGCCAGAGAUUACCAACUCCCGGCCCAAUGCCUACUCCAUGUCCCUCAGCCCGUAGCUAGGGAUUAUUUCUCCCGGCCUAAAUGCCAACACCAGAUCCUCACCCCAGGCAGCAUAGUGUCCUCUAGGUACGCACAAAUAGUUACGCCUCUCAUAAAUAACCACUUCAUAGUAUAAAGUCAUCCAUCAUCUAUACUAUAAAGAAGGGUUUCUAAAACAUGUUCUAGCAUCCUAUCCUCAUCCAUCAGAUAGUCUACUAGAUCAUGGUUUUUAUAGACAAUACGAUAUAUCAAAAUAUAGCUCAAUAUAAGCCAACAAUUGAUUCCUCACCAAAAACACGAGACGAAAAUCAAUAUAUUUAAUAAACAGACUUCACAUAAAUCAAAUCAUAAACACGUAGGCAUGCUAAUCAUUUAUGCAAUUAAACUAUAAAAUGUAAUUAGAAGGGGUCCACUCACAGUACUUAGUUGCCAAAAGCUACGCCACUAGCGAAGACGGAAACGUCACAAUAAUUGCCCCUAAGCACAUAAAGAGUCCAAUAAAUAAAACUAUAUAAUAGCAAUUGAAUUGGGGAAAAUGGACAUUGGAAACGGAUUCAGAACGUUGAAUUACACUAAGAAGGGUCCCGAACGAAAACCCAAAAAGUCAACCCUAAAGUUAACGUUAACCCUCGGUCAACGGUCAAAUUAGGUCUAAUGGGUUUUAGGCUUGAAAUGCCGAUUAGGGUUUAGGUUUAGGUUGAAAUAAGGUUAGGAUCUAUUGAGUUUUGGUUUUGGAUAGGUUAGGUACAAAAUGGGUGGUUUGCGCUUAAGCCCAAAUCCACACACAACACACACACACACACACACACACUCACACACACACACUCAUAACCCAAAGGCCUCACAACCAAAAGGGUUGGGCUCGGCAGGGAAGGCCCAAAUGGCUUAGGUUUGGUGGGUCGCCGGACCCAAUGGGAAAGAAAGCCAGAAAUCGGCAGGAAAAUGCACAACCUUUAAAUGGCCAUAACUUUGUCAAAACUAAACGAAAUCAAGUUAUUCAAAAGCAAAAGUUGUAGCCCUCAAAGAGACGAAGAGAAUGUUACCUCACAUGACGUCUAACGAGCCUUGGUUUGGCCAAAAAAUGCCUUGAAACCCUCGAAGGUCGCCGGAAACUGGGUAAGAUUCAAAUGAGUAUAACUUCUUCAAUACUCAAUGAAAUUGAGUGAAACAAAAAGGAAAGUUGUAGUACUCGAUGACAUAAAGAGAUUGAUACCUUUCACUGUUGCCAACUCACUGUGGUUUGGCCGGAAAUUAUCUCGAAAGUGAUGGUGCUCGUCGAAAAAUAUGGAGAAUGCUCCCCGAGCUGUUUUCACGUUUAAACCUUCACCAAAAACCACUUUUUAACAACCACUAAGCCUUUUAGACUACCAGGGAGAAAGAUGGAAGAGUGGUUCAACUUACCUUUGUUGGAAAACACCUGCACAAUGACUGUGCAUAGUGCAAAAAAUAGACCGGAGAGGUGAGGGAGAGAAUGAAGGUCUGAGUGUUGGUGAUGGGUGGUGUCGUCUUCGUUGAUGUGGUGUGGAAGUGAGGGUGUGUGGGUUGGUUCACGGGGAGAAGGAGAGAGUGUAGAGAAAGAGCACGAGUAGAGAUGAGAGAGAGAGGGAAAAGAAAGAAUUGAGAGAUAAGAGAAAUCGGGGACACAAAAGCAAGGUGGGCCCUCUGGGCACACGUAUUAAGACCGAAAAACAAUUUUAAAAGCAAGAUAAACUCAAACUUAGUGAAAAUACAAUUUAAAUUAGGGGUGGGGUGUAACAAUCUACCCCCCUUAAAAGAAUUUCAUCUUCGAAAUUUAAAAUCAUUUACUAAACUGAAAUACUCGAAAAUAGGAAGAAGAAUAUAUGUAUAAAGAGAAAUCAAGUCAGAGUGGGUGCAUCAAAGAGAAUAUGCCACACCGUCGCGAGUGGGUUGCAAAAUCCUCUAUCAUGCCUCCAAACUCUUACUUUCAUUCUCAACAGUGUGAAAGUAGAAAACAUACUUUAUAAAGAUAUAAAGUCGAAAACGCAUAUUAACGUAAGGUCAAAAAUAUGUAUGUGAAAUACAAUAACAUCAAAAUAGAUAAGUAAUAACAUAUAGGUUGAAAACUCAAAUCAACUUAAAAAUGAAAAUAGAAAUACUUUUCCAAAAACAUUUGUAAUGUCAAAACAAUUAACUAGAGUAAAUGAAGUUAAAAUACUUAUACUGAAAACCAAAACUGAAAAAUGAGAGUGGGUCUUACCCAAGAAUUCGAAACGUUAUGUACUCUGAGAACAGAUGUGUCUUUAGGUCGAGCUCCAAGAAUCAAAAAUCCGUAACAACUGUCGUAGACGAGUCUUCCCGCCCAUUUGCUUAAUGAACCCAACAAAUAAGCUAUCGAUAUCAUAGUCUGCAACCCACAAUAUCGACCUCACAUUUGUUGUCUUGAUAAGAAAGUAGUAAUUUCUCAAAGGUGUACAAUUUCCCAUAUCGUAGGAUCGAUCAUCCAAAUACAAGUUCGCAAGACUUUUCUGUCAACCAAUAUUGUCCGUGAAAAACUCUUGUACCAUGUCGUAAAAAGUGCCAUACACCAAACCGAACAAAACAGAAAAUGUAGUCGUAACACUUUAUCCAGCACCAAGCAUCAAAUUCUCUUCAGUUUUAACUGUACCUUGGGAUUCAAUAGAAGUGGCUACCAUGUUAAAAGUAGACCCAAAAACUCGAACUAAGCAAGCAAAAAGCAAGAAGUCAUCUUCCUCAACACGCAGUAUCUCUUGGGAACUGUUGUAGUGCUCAAUCCACCUCUCCAUUUUUGCUUAGUUGCAUAUUUCUAGUCAACCAAGGUCAAAGUUAGUAGAAAGAAGAACGACUCGCAAAUGGUCAACCUAAAAACAAAAAAGAGUACACACCUUUUGAGAGAAGUGUAAAGAUUAUCCAAUUCUCGCUUCGACCGUCCUGUAGUGCCAUCCCAGAAUGCACCAAACAAAUCUGCUAGAAAUGUUUUAACAACCACGUACUCACAACAAUAAGGUUCAAAAGUGAAGCAGUGGAAAUAUGCGUUGAGACAAACACAUAUCGUUGGAAAAUAACCGAUAUGAUGCCUAUGAAUUCUAGUAAGAUGGUGAUACAAUAUGCUGACCUUCAGUACUAAAACCUUCAACCAACUCUUACUAAAAGAUUGCUCGAACCUCACACCCAUGUGCUCUCGAACUAAAGGAUCCUAGUGAGAGGUAGUGGAAAGCUGCGUUGAGGCGAACACAUCACAUCAUCAAAAAGGUAUACCAGAGUAAGAUAUAAUGGUUAUGAAUUGUAGCAAGAUAAUGAGUGGUGACCAUUCAAUUCAACAUGAAGAUAUUGAUGCAAUCUGCUGAAACCUCAUACCCACAUGGAACUCUUUCUGGUAAGUCUGGUAAACUUGUGAAAAGAUUAUACUCCUAAUAUUCCUGUCCAAUUUGAUAAGAAUUGGGCACACACUUCCGCCAAAUCCAUUGAUCAUGAAUUCCUCACUAAUUGAGCGAGAAACCAUGUCGGAAAGGCUGAGAUAAUACUCCAGAAUUUGAGAGUCAAAACAAGUCCAUUACAAUCCAGAGUACAAUAUAUCGAGAUUUGAACUAGAAACCAUGCCGACAGAAUGAUCCAGUUUCACAAUGAGAGACGAAUAAGCAAAGGAAGGUGAAAAUGCAGAAAUAGAAGUCACUAUUUAUGAUUAUUUUGCAAAUCAUCAUAGUAUGGUCAACUGGUUUCUUAGCCAAAAAGGAAUUAGGUCUAAGCUAAAGAAUAGUUAAGAACUGUUGAUAAGAUUUGAUGACGCUAAAGAAAUUUUGAAAUUCACAAUACUUUGUGAGAGCUGUUUCAAAGUUCAAAAAUUAAACAUAGAGCCUCUGAAUCAGCAGAAUGACGAAGAAGAAAGAUACAAAGCAGCCUGCGUAUGCAUGCAGUGACACGAUUGGCUACCUUAAAGUGAUGCUCUUGCGCAAACCAAAGCUCAUUGAGUCCAGAGAAGUUCAGAGUAAAGCUCAAUCUUCAUACAAUGAUGAAUAUGGUAGAGUCUCAAGCCAUUAAACUGAAAAUUACAAGGCUGAACAUUUAGUGGACAAGAGUACUGAUCAGUUGGGCUACAAGCGAGAACCUAAGUCCAUCUCUAUCGAAAAGUACAUGGACAAGGAGCUAGGGUUUUUCACCGAGUACCAAACCUAGGUGAAGUUUAAGGAAUCUGUUUAUCCAAACAAGUUUGGAUCUUCAUCAUCUAAUUCCAACUACGACAACAAUAAGAAUUGCAACUCCUUUUAGAAAUUGAUGAGAACGUCUGUUACCGAGGAGUUUCCCAAGAAAAGCAAUUAAUGUAAACAAAAUCAACACUCGAAGAAUUUGGUGUAAAGCUGACGGUCAACGGUUAAGGAACUUGACUUCAUCGCUAGAGAAAUCAAGAAGAUUAUCGAUAGAAUAAUCGUCGAGGACUUGUACCAAAGAUCCACACGAAUUUCCUCAAUGGAAACGAGUUCAAGAAUGUUGAUUCCAAUUCCAACUAACACUUUCCAGAUUUCAUCACAACCAACGUUUACUUGUUUUCUCCAACAUGCAUGUCAAAUGUCUUAAGUAGUUUCCACAUAGAUGUGACCUUGCCCGCCAUUCCUAGGUAACACAUGUCAUAGAGUGACACCAUCGAUUCAGAACCUCGAUUGGUCUUAACCAAUUCGUACCGCCAAUCCAAAGAUUUCGAUGUAGAGCCAACUUUACCUACAAUUCCUAGGAAACGCAUGUUGCAGAGUGGCAUCGCCAUUUUGGAUCAACGGCUGGUUUUAACCAGAAUUCCUCAAAUUGAGAUUUCUAAAACACGUCACUGAGUAUCGAUCCGAUGUUAAAAGUCGUCUAACAAAACAAACACGUCACUUGAGGCACAAUCCCGACAAGAAUUCUUGUUUUUCAACCAGAAGGUGACAAUUCAAACAAAGAAAGGUUCGCACAACUGCUCCGAAUAACACCAAAUCUAGAAGUCCUGACAUCCAAAUGAUGUCAAAACUGACACUUUACGAGAAUAGAAGAGAAUCCUAAGUAUGCUCUAAACAAACCACGCUCUGAUACCAAUCUGACACGCCCCGACCCUGAUAUUCCCCGAAUACCAGGAUAAACACUUGCUGGCCGACAUCCGAGGGUGACAAAAGCCAUUAAUUGAUACAAAAGCUAAGAAUAAGAAAUGAAUAAGGGUUAGAAAUUUAAAAUACAAUGAAAUAAUAAAUUAGGAACGUGCUCAGAGCAUACAACUAAACCUAAUCACUAAAAAGAAUUAAGAUAAAAUUGAAUGAAUAAAGAAGUGGGUCCUACAUCGAGAGGAUUCAAAGAUGCUGCUGCGGAAGUGUCUUGACGCCGGGAUUAGGUGCCUUGAUCCUAAGUCCUGAAUGGGGGCACAAAACAAAGGUAAGUGGACCAAGUUCAUAUAUA
rnacentral:lncRNA from 1 species